GGUAAUGUGGCUAAGUGGUAGAGUGCUUGCCUAGCAUGCAUGAAUCCCUGAGUUUGAUUCCUCAGCACCA
rfam:Dipodomys ordii contig_8714, whole genome shotgun sequence.